rnacentral:rRNA from 1 species
GNNNNCCUUCGGGGGGGGNGUGNAGUAGGGAAUCUUCCGCAAUGGGCGAAAGCCUGACGGAGCAAUGCCGCGUGAGUGAUGAAGGUUUUCGGAUCGUAAAGCUCUGUUGCCAGGGAAGAACGCUUGGGAGAGUAACUGCUCUCAAGGUGACGGUACCUGAGAAGAAAGCCCCGGCUAACUACGUGCCAGCAGCCGCGGUAAUACGUAGGGGGCAAGCGUUGUCCGGAAUUAUUGGGCGUAAAGCGCGCGCAGGCGGUCAUUUAAGUCUGGUGUUUAAUCCCGGGGCUCAACCCCGGAUCGCACUGGAAACUGGGUGACUUGAGUGCAGAAGAGGAGAGUGGAAUUCCACGUGUAGCGGUGAAAUGCGUAGAUAUGUGGAGGAACACCAGUGGCGAAGGCGACUCUCUGGGCUGUAACUGACGCUGAGGCGCGAAAGCGUGGGGAGCAAACAGGAUUAGA